rnacentral:ribozyme from 1 species
AACAAGUACAAGUAGUUCCAUCUCCUGACGGUACGUAACUGUAACAAUGGAAGCAGAAGCCGAAAAUCAAAGACCUACAAGCAGAAAGCCAGAAGAUACUGCGUUCAAACAGCAAAGAUUGAAGGCAUGGCAACCUAUUCUUA